AGCAGCCGCGGUAAUUCCAGCUCCAAUAGCGUAUAUUAAAGUUGUUGCAGUUAAAAAGCUCGUAGUUGAAUUUCGGGGUUAGUAGGUUGGUCAUGCCUCUGGUAUGUACUGGUCUCACUGAUUCCUCCUUCCUGAUGAGCCGUAAUGCCAUUAAUUUGGUGUUGCGGGGAAUUUGGACUGUUACUUUGAAAAAUUAGAGUGUUUAAAGCAGGCUCACGCUUGAAUACAUUAGCAUGGAAUAAUGAAAUAGGACGUUUGAUUCUAUUUUGUUGGUUUCUAGGAUCGACGUAAUGAUUAAUAGGGAUAGUUGGGGGCAUUAGUAUUCAAUUGUCAGAGGUGAAAUUCUUGGAUUUAUUGAAGACUAACUACUGCGAAAGCAUUUGCCAAGGAUGUUUUCAUUAAUCAAGAACGAAAGUUAGGGGAUCGAAGACGAUCAGAUACCGUUGUAGUCUUAACCAUAAACUAUGCCGACUAGGGAUCGGAUGAUGUUAAUUUUUAAUGACUCAUUCGGCGUCCG
rnacentral:rRNA from 1 species